rnacentral:hammerhead_ribozyme from 1 species
AUCCAGUUGACGAGUCCCAAAUAGGACGAAACGCGCGUCCUGGCU